rnacentral:rRNA from 1 species
UACGUAGGGUGCAAGCGUUGUUCGGAAUUACUGGGCGUAAAGCGCGCGCAGGCGGGCUUAUAAGUCGAUUGUGAAAUCCCAGGGCUUAACCUUGGAAUUGCAGUCGAAACUGUAAGUUCUUGAGUGCCUAAGAGGAUGGCGGAAUUCCCGGUGUAGUAGUGAAAUACGUAGAUAUCGGGAAGAACACCUGAGGCGAAGGCGGCUAUCUGGGACGGGUACUGACGGCUGAGACGCGAAAAGCGUGGGGAGCGAACAGG